rnacentral:tRNA from 1 species
UCUAUUUUGGCAGAUUAGUGCGACGGAUUUAGAAUCCGUGUAUGUAAAGGUGAUGUUACAGAUAGAA